AUGGCCUGGGCUCCUCUCUUCUUCACCUUCCUCACCUUCCUCACAGGGUCCCUCUCCCAGCCUACUCUGACUCAGCCACCCUCUGCCUCAGCCUCCCUGGGACAAGCAGUCACACUUACCUGCACCCUGAGCAGUGGCUAUGGUAACUAUGAUGUGGAGUGGUACCAGCAGAGCCCAGGGAAGGGCCUCCGGUUUGUAAUGCGAAUGGGCACUAGUGGUAUUAUGGGAUCCAAGGGGGACGGGAUUCCUGAUCGCUUCUCAGCCUCAAGCUCUGGCCCAGAUCGGUUGCUGAUUAUUCAGAACCUCCAGGAAGAUGAUGAGAGUGACUACUACUGUGGGGUAAGCCAUGGCAGUAGGAGCAGCUACGUGUAA